ensembl:lncRNA
CCUACCUGCAGUAAGAGGGGUUCUCGGGACGCACGUGCACGUGUUGGUCAUAAUGAAUCUUCAUCGCUGGAAAAACUAAAGGACGAACUUGCAGCCAGACUAUCUGCAGUUCUGUUGCCAUAUUUAUGAGUUACGGUUAUGUUGGCCAUACAAAACACAGACAUAAAAAAAUGAACUGCAUUAGUCAGCAAGUUUCCACUUCCUCUGUCCUCCUUUCCUGCUUCUCUCCACAUCAGUCCCAUCCUGAAGACAUCCCGUUUCUCCAUUCUGAAAGAGGAGCCAUGUUAACCAGUCGGCCUCUGAAGGAGAGAGACACUGACAGACUGCCUCCAUCUCAAGUCGAGCAGCUGUUGUUGUAACUACCCCUGCUUAUCUCUGCACUUCCUAGUUUGCUAUAUCAAACUGAGAUGAAUUCAGAGAAGAAUUUAUUUAAGUGUUUCUAAUCUAGACGCACCACAAACACACACAUUUAUAAGCCCGAUGUGAAUGGCUCUAUGUGUGCAUCUAUCAUCACAGCUUCUUCACAUCUGUCCUCCUCUUUUACGUCCUAAUCCUCAUCAUUCAGCACAGCGCUCUGUGUGUGUGUGUGGGUGUGUGUGUGUGUGUGUGUAUUCAUCAUUAGUCUUUUUAAUUGGUGGCCAAAAGGUAUGAGAUCCUACUCAACACCUUGUACCCAUGUGGAAUGAUUUAUAAAUGUUUAUGAAUAAAUACUGUAUGUGUUUGCA